CGGGAUAACUCGGCGAAAGCCGUGCUAAUACCGGAUACUCCAUCCUCUUCGCAUGAAGAGGUUGGGAAAGCCUUUACGGUAAGGGAUGGGGUCGCGGCCCAUCAGGUAGUUGGCGGGGUAACGGCCCACCAAGCUUACGACGGGUAGCCGGGUUGAGAGACCGACCGGCCACAUUGGGACUGAGAUACGGCCCAGACUCCUACGGGAGGCAGCAGUGGGGAAUUUUGCGCAAUGGGGGAAACCCUGACGCAGCAACGCCGCGUGCGGGAUGACGGCCUCCGGGUUGUAAACCGCUUUCAGUAGGGAAGAACAUCGACGGUACCUACAGAAGAAGCCCCGGCUAACUACGUGCCAGCAGCCGCGGUAAUACGUAGGGGGCAAGCGUUAUCCGGAUUCAUUGGGCGUAAAGCGCGCGUAGGCGGUUGCCUAAGCGGGACCUCUAAUCUUAGGGCUCAACCUUAAGCCGGGUCCCGAACUGGGUGACUUGAGUGCGGUAGAGGAAAGUGGAAUUCCCGGUGUAGCGGUGGAAUGCGCAGAUAUCGGGAAGAACACCGAUGGCGAAGGCAGCUUUCUGGGCCGCCACUGACGCUGAGGCGCGAAAGCUAGGGGAGCAAACAGGAUUAGAUACCCUGGUAGUCCUAGCCGUAAAC
rnacentral:rRNA from 1 species